rnacentral:rRNA from 1 species
AACGAACGCUGGCGGCAUGCCUAACACAUGCAAGUCGAACGAGACCUUCGGGUCUAGUGGCGCACGGGUGCGUAACGCGUGGGAAUCUGCCCUUUGCUUCGGAAUAACAGUUAGAAAUGACUGCUAAUACCGGAUGAUGUCUUCGGACCAAAGAUUUAUCGGCAAAGGAUGAGCCCGCGUAGGAUUAGGUAGUUGGUGGGGUAAAGGCCUACCAAGCCGACGAUCCUUAGCUGGUCUGAGAGGAUGAUCAGCCACACUGGGACUGAGACACGGCCCAGACUCCUACGGGAGGCAGCAGUGGGGAAUAUUGGACAAUGGGCGCAAGCCUGAUCCAGCAAUGCCGCGUGAGUGAUGAUGGCCUUCGGUCGUAAGCUCUUUACCUAGGAGUGAUAAUAGACAGUACCUGGAGAAUAAGACUCCGGC